rnacentral:rRNA from 1 species
AUGAUAAGGAAACAUUUCCUCAGCCCAUCUUUCUCUACACACACAGGUUGCACAAAGGAGUAUAAGGAUUUCUUCAUCGGCCCAGUCCAUGUGGAAGACGUCGCGUUAGCCCAUACCAUGCUGUUUGAGAAUCCGGCUGCAUCCGGGAGGCACCUCUGCGUGGAGCCCAUAUGUCAUUGGAGCGAUUUCUCGUCCAAAGUCGCGGAGCUCUACCCUGACUACAAAGUCCCGAAAUUCCCCGAGGGCACGAAGCCUGGGCUGGCGAGAGCGGAGGCGGUGCCGAAGAAGCCGAUGGCGUUGGGCCUGCGGUUCACUCCUUUGGAGAAGAUUAUCAGGUACACGGUGGAGAGACUUCGGAGCAGAGGAUACAUCGCCUGA